UGGUUUGAUCAUGGCUCAGGAUGAACGCUGGCGGCAUGCCCAAUACAUGCAAGUCGAACGGAGUGAAGCCUUCGGGUUUCAUUCAGUGGCGAACGGGUGAGUAAUACGCAGGGAACCUGGCCAUGGCAGGGGGAUACACUCUGGAAACGGAGCAUAAGACCCCAUAGGCAGUAAGGCGGCAUCGCCUUGCUGUUAAAGAAAGCUGAAAGGCUUUGGCGAUGGAUGGACCUGCGGUGCAUUAGCUUGUUGGUGAGGCAACGGCUUACCAAGGCGAUGAUGCAUAGCCGGCCUGAGAGGGCGGACGGCCACACUGGGACUGAGACACGGCCCAGACUCCUGCGGGAGGCAGCAGUAGGGAAUUUUCGUCAAUGGGCGCAAGCCUGAACGAGCAAUGCCGCGUGAGUGAGGAAGGUCUUCGGACUGUAAAGCUCUGUUGCCGGGGAAAAAGGGGAAAUGCAGGAAAUGGCAUUUCAUGGAUGGUACCCGGCCAGAAAGCCACGGCUAACUACGUGCCAGCAGCCGCGGUAAUACGUAGGUGGCGAGCGUUAUCCGGAAUGAUUGGGCGUAAAGGGUGCGCAGGCGGUCUGUUAAGUCUGAAGGCAAAGGGAUGAGCUCAACUCAUUUAUGAUUCAGAAACUGGCAGACUUGAGGACAGGAGAGGGCGGUGGAACUCCAUGUGUAGCGGUAAAAUGCGCAGAGAUAUGGAAGAACACCAGUGGCGAAGGCGGCCGCCUGGCCUGUGACUGACGCUGAGGCACGAAAGCGUGGGGAGCAAAUAGGAUUAGAUACCCUAGUAGUCCACGCCGUAAACGAUGAGGAGCAGGUGUUGGGAGUGAAAUCUCAGUGCCGAAGCCAACGCAGUGACUCCUCCGCCUGGGGAGUAUGCACGCAAGUGUGAAACUCAAAGGAAUUGACGGGGGCCCGCACAAGCGGUGGAGUAUGUGGUUUAAUUCGAAGCAACGCGAAGAACCUUACCAGGUUUUGACAUCGGAUGCGAAGGCGCAGAGAUGCGCUGGAGGCUAUCAUCCAGACAGGUGGUGCAUGGUUGUCGUCAGCUCGUGUCGUGAGAUGUUCAGUUAAGUCUGGCAACGAGCGCAACCCCCGUGGUAUGUUACUAACGCAUUUGGGCGAGGACUCAUAUCAGACUGCCGGUGACAAACCGGAGGAAGGCGGGGAUGACGUCAAAUCAUCAUGCCCCUUAUGGCCUGGGCUACACACGUACUACAAUGGCGUCUACAGAGGGAAGCGACCCUGAGAAGGGAAGCGAAACCGGAAAAGGGCGUCCCAGUUCGGAUUGAAGUCUGCAACCCGACUUCAUGAAGAUGGAAUCGCUAGUAAUCGCGGAUCAGCAUGCCGCGGUGAAUACGUUCCCGGGCCUUGUACACACCGCCCGUCAAACCAUGGAAGCCGGCAACGCCCGAAGCCGGUGGCAUAACCUUUUAGGAGUGAGCCGUCGAAGGCGGGGCCGAUGACUGGGGUUAAGUCGUAACAAGGUAUCC
rnacentral:rRNA from 1 species